GGACUACUGGGGUUUCUAAUCCCGUUUGCUCCCCUGGCUUUCGCGCAUCAGCGUCAAUACCGGUCCAGGAUGCCGCCUUCGCCACCGGUGUUCCUCCAGAUAUCUACGCAUUUCACCGCUACACCUGGAAUUCCGCAUCCCUCUCCCGGAUUCAAGCCCGCCAGUAUCACACGCAGUUCCCCGGUUGAGCCGAGGGAUUUCACGUAUGACUUAGCAGGCCGCCUACGCGCCCUUUACGCCCAGUAAUUCCGAACAACGCUCGCCCCCUCUGUAUUACCGCGGCUGCUGGCAC
rnacentral:rRNA from 1 species